rnacentral:tRNA from 1 species
AGGGCGGAUGCGGCGCGCGGCGCUGUCCGGUGCGGCCGUGACGGCCGCACCGGCGGUCGCGGCCGUGGCCGCCUUCGGGUACGAGGCCGGUCUGCCGUG